rnacentral:rRNA from 1 species
UACGGGGGGAGCAAGCGUUGUUCGGAUUUACUGGGCGUAAAGGGCGCGUAGGCGGUCAGCACAAGUCAGUUGUGAAAUCUCCGGGCUUAACUCGGAAAGGUCAACUGAUACUGUGCGACUAGAGUGCGGAAGGGGCAACUGGAAUUCUUGGUGUAGCGGUGAAAUGCGUAGAUACUGGGAGGAACACCGGUGGCGAAGGCGGCUACCUGGACCGGAACUGACGCUGAGGCGCGAAAGCCAGGGGAGCAAACGGG